AUGGAGAUACCAUUAGAGACUAGACAAAUACAUCAAAUUACCGACUGUUUGUAAUCACGGAUGAUUCUGUGUUCCUGGCUGCCUUUGCUUCUCAGAUUUCUAUAACAUAUAUGUAUACUUUUAAAAGUUGGAGGGGGAAAGUAUCAUUAAAGUCAAGGGCUACCAUAUGAAAUUCUUUUGCACUUAAACAGGAAAGAAUGAAGACUGAUGAAAUAACAGCAUACAUUCUCUAAAUAUAAAGAUACUGAGUCAGUAAGCUUCCUGUACACAAAUCUCUGUCUCAGAAGCUGGGAAACGCAGUCUGCAAUAGUUAGUGCUAUAAGUGGUCCUAGGAAACCUACUGGAUCACCUGUCGGCAGCAGACGGAGCAUUCAGAUCACUUGGCAAGCAGCGAUAGUGAAGUUCGUUAAAACUUUUACUGUUAGAAACUGAUCAGACUUCUGGCUUAAUAAUCUGCCCAGCUUUACAAGGCAAGAUUGCUCAUAGGAGACAUUAAUACUGAAUAACAAGUUCAUCAUUCAUAAAUGAACUGAAGGGUUACACAGUCAACUAAAUCAGAACCCCCUGUGAGAUGUAUCGAGCCAAGUGAUGAAGCCGUAGGAGAAAGAGUAGGAAGCGACAACCCGAAGCAGAAGAACAGGGAUUGCAUCUGGUCUAUCUGAUAUCUCCCACAUCCUCCAGUGACUGUGGCUGCCUGAUGAAGUGA